rnacentral:rRNA from 1 species
UACGUAGGGUGCAAGCGUUAAUCGGAAUUACUGGGCGUAAAGCGUGCGCAGGCGGUUUUGUAAGUCUGAUGUGAAAUCCCCGGGCUCAACCUGGGAAUUGCAUUGGAGACUGCAAGGCUAGAAUCUGGCAGAGGGGGGUAGAAUUCCACGUGUAGCAGUGAAAUGCGUAGAGAUGUGGAGGAACACCGAUGGCGAAGGCAGCCCCCUGGGUCAAGAUUGACGCUCAUGCACGAAAGCGUGGGGAGCAAACAAG